rnacentral:rRNA from 1 species
UGCAAGUCGAGCGGACAGAAGGGAGCUUGCUCCCGGAUGUUAGCGGCGGACGGGUGAGUAACACGUGGGUAACCUGCCUGUAAGACUGGGAUAACUCCGGGAAACCGGAGCUAAUACCGGAUAGUUCCUUGAACCGCAGGUUCAAGGAUGAAAGACGGUUUCGGCUGUCACUUACAGAUGGACCCGCGGCGCAUUAGCUAGUUGGUGAGGUAACGGCUCACCAAGGCGACGAUGCGUAGCCGACCUGAGAGGGUGAUCGGCCACACUGGGACUGAGACACGGCCCAGACUCCUACGGGAGGCAGCAGUAGGGAAUCUUCCGCAAUGGACGAAAGUCUGACGGAGCAACGCCCCGUGAGUGAUGAAGGUUUUCGGAUCGUAAAGCUCUGUUGUUAGGGAAGAACAAGUGCAAGAGUAACUGCUUGCACCUUGACGGUACCUAACCAGAAAGCCACGGCUAACUACGUGCCAGCAGCCGCGGUAAUACGUAGGUGGCAAGCGUUGUCCGGAAUUAUUGGGCGUAAAGGGCUCGCAGGCGGUUUCUUAAGUCUGAUGUGAAAGCCCCCCGGCUCAACCGGGGAGGGUCAUUGGAAACUGGGAAACUUGAGUGCAGAAGAGGAGAGUGGAAUUCCACGUGUAGCGGUGAAAUGCGUAGAGAUGUGGAGGAACACCAGUGGCGAAGGCGACUCUCUGGUCUGUAACUGACGCUGAGAGCGAAAGCGUGGGGGAGCGAACAGGAUUAGAUACCCUGGUAGUCCACGCCGUAAACGAUGAGUGCUAGUGUUAGGGGUUUCCGCCCCUUAGUGCUGCAGCUAA